AGUGUUGUUCUUUCUGUUGGACACCGUGGAGGCCAAUGCCGACAAGAAGACAUUCUCUCGGCGCGGUGUCGAAAGUGAAGAAGAAGUUCUUCAACAUCGUCGACUCGCGAAGCGUGUGCUUUCUUCUCCGAUGCCGAAAUACGAUUCUGACUACUAUAUAACAAUGCAGGAAAUCAAGGGUGCGAUGCGUGUACUUCACGGAUUGGCCGCCGCACACUUACUGUCUCGUUCUGAACGGGUUGUAUUUCAACACGUUUGAUG